AUUCUCUGGUUUUUCUUCAGCUCCUAUAAAUCUUUCACAUUUUAUCAAAGGUUUCUGUGAAGAGACACAGUUAUGUGUUUGUAACUAAUUUUCUGAGGAUCUCCCUCGCUUCC